rnacentral:lncRNA from 1 species
AAGAGAGCAGCGUAUGUACGUGCGCGUAGCGUAGGUCGGGCCUCAAAAAAUAAAGUCUAGAAAGAAGAUCUUGCAAACAAAAAGCCAAACAUAGCUUUAAUACCCAUCUAUAACAACUUUACGUCUUGCUGAAUACGGGUGCUUUCUUGCAUGAUUAUUUAAUCAUGUAAUCAAGAACAGUAGUUUCUUCAAUCAUAUCAGCCUAUUCGAUCGGCUAUUCCUCGCAAGCUAUCUAUUCUUAGGCCAUGGGCGGAUUGAAGGGGCCCAAAGGAGGUAAACGUAAACUUCUUCGUUGUACUAGUGUUUGAUGCUUAAAAUCACAGUUCGUAGGACUAUGGUUCUACUUGUUAAUAAUUUUGCCUUAAUUAAAUUAACACUUGUGUUCAAGCUAAAGGAAUAUCAAGGGGAUUUGGGCUUCCUACACCGUAAAUGUGACGUCGAGGCCUUCCUGCACCGUACAUGUGACACUAAUUCAGAGUUGUGUUGACGGGACGCAAGGACGGAGCUAAGAUUUUAGUCUAGAUAGGGAAAAAAAAUUCUGUUAACAGAACAACAUUGUUGCCACAAGUUGAAUUCCAACUUGUGCCUUUGUUGGGAAGGUCGAGCUCCACGUUCAUAGGGG